rnacentral:rRNA from 1 species
UACAGAGGGGGCAAGCGUUGUUCGGAAUUACUGGGCGUAAAGGGCGCGUAGGUGGCCACCUAAGUCAGACGUGAAAUCCCUCAGCUUAACUGGGGAACUGCGUCUGAUACUGGGUGGCUUGAGUGCAGGAGAGGAAUGCGGAAUUCCAGGUGUAGCGGUGAAAUUCGUAGAUAUUCGCAAGAACACCAGUGGCGAAGGCGGCUCACUGGCCCGAUACUGACGCUGAGGCACGAAAGCGUGGGGAGCAAACAGG